rnacentral:rRNA from 1 species
UCAAUCUCGUGCGGCUAUAUAUACCGCCGGUCCCUCUAAGAAGAUUUUCAUUGUACGCCGGUAGUGAAGACCGCGAAACGCGCGACCCCGACGCGCAAACGCCGGGGGACGCACGCACGCGGACCCUCGUGAUACCGGUUGCACGUCUAUUUAAUAGGCUAGAGUUACGUUCGUUAC